rnacentral:rRNA from 1 species
GACGAACGCUGGCGGCGUGCUUAACACAUGCAAGUCGAACGGGCAGGCCCUGCUUUUGUGGGGUGCUCGAGUGGCGAACGGGUGAGUAACACGCGAGUAAACUGCCCUUGACUUUGGGAUAACUUCAGGAAACUGGGGCUCAUACACGGUAGGAGCUCCUGAUCCAUGUGGUUGGUUGGUAAGAGUCGGCGGUUGGGGAUGGACUGGCGGCUUAUCAGCUUGUUGGUGUGGUAGUGGCUUACGAAGGCUUUGACGGCUAGCCGGCCUGAGAGGUUUACCGGCCACAUUGGGACUGAGAUACGGACCAGACUCCUACGGGAGGCAGCAGUGGGGAAUAUUGCACAAUGGGCGGAAGCCUGAGGCAGAAACGCCGCGUGCGUGAUGACGGCCUUCGGGUUGUAAACCGCUUUCGCCUGUGACGAAGCGUGAGUGACGGUAAUGGGUAAAGAAGCACCGGCUAACUACGUG